rnacentral:pre_miRNA from 1 species
AGUGAAAUUGCUGGGUCAUGUGUUUAAUCAUUUUAGGAAGUGUCAGACUGUUUUCUACAGAGACUACCUCAUUUUACAUUCCCACCAGCAGU